GUUUGAUCCUGGCUCAGGAUGAGCGCUAGCUACAGGCUUAACACAUGCAAGUCGAGGGGAAACGACAUCGAAAGCUUGCUUUUGAUGGGCGUCGACCGGCGCACGGGUGAGUAACGCGUAUCCAACCUGCCCACCACUUGGGGAUAACCUUGCGAAAGUAAGACUAAUACCCAAUGACGUCUCUAGAAGACAUCUGAAAGAGAUUAAAGAUUUAUCGGUGAUGGAUGGGGAUGCGUCUGAUUAGCUUGUUGGCGGGGUAACGGCCCACCAAGGCGACGAUCAGUAGGGGUUCUGAGAGGAAGGUCCCCCACAUUGGAACUGAGACACGGUCCAAACUCCUACGGGAGGCAGCAGUGAGGAAUAUUGGUCAAUGGACGAGAGUCUGAACCAGCCAAGUAGCGUGCAGGAUGACGGCCCUAUGGGUUGUAAACUGCUUUUAUAAGGGAAUAAAGUGAGUCUCGUGAGACUUUUUGCAUGUACCUUAUGAAUAAGGACCGGCUAAUUCCGUGCCAGCAGCCGCGGUAAUACGGAAGGUCCGGGCGUUAUCCGGAUUUAUUGGGUUUAAAGGGAGCGUAGGCCGGAGAUUAAGCGUGUUGUGAAAUGUAGACGCUCAACGUCUGCACUGCAGCGCGAACUGGUUUCCUUGAGUACGCACAAAGUGGGCGGAAUUCGUGGUGUAGCGGUGAAAUGCUUAGAUAUCACGAAGAACUCCGAUUGCGAAGGCAGCUCACUGGAGCGCAACUGACGCUGAAGCUCGAAAGUGCGGGUAUCGAACAGGAUUAGAUACCCUGGUAGUCCGCACGGUAAACGAUGGAUGCCCGCUGUUGGUCUGAAUAGGUCAGCGGCCAAGCGAAAGCAUUAAGCAUCCCACCUGGGGAGUACGCCGGCAA
rnacentral:rRNA from 1 species